AGUGAACGCUGGCGGUAGGCCUAACACAUGCAAGUCGAACGGCAGCACAGUAAGAGCUUGCUCUUACGGGUGGCGAGUGGCGGACGGGUGAGGAAUACAUCGGAAUCUACUUUUUCGUGGGGGAUAACGUAGGGAAACUUACGCUAAUACCGCAUACGACCUACGGGUGAAAGCAGGGGAUCUUCGGACCUUGCGCGAUUGAAUGAGCCGAUGUCGGAUUAGCUAGUUGGCGGGGUAAAGGCCCACCAAGGCGACGAUCCGUAGCUGGUCUGAGAGGAUGAUCAGCCACACUGGAACUGAGACACGGUCCAGACUCCUACGGGAGGCAGCAGUGGGGAACAUUGGACAAUGGGCGCAAGCCUGAUCCAGCCAUACCGCGUGGGUGAAGAAGGCCUUCGGGUUGUAAAGCCCUUUUGUCGGGAAAGAAAAGCAGCAGGUUAAUACCCCGCUGUUCUGACGGUACCCAAAGAAUAAGCACCGGCUAACUUCGUG
rnacentral:rRNA from 1 species